rnacentral:lncRNA from 1 species
UUCUGAAGCUGCUCAGCAUGUGGCAGAGGAGCAUGCUGUGAAGAGCUCAUUCCAACAGCAGCGUGAUGAGUAACACUAUCAACAUAAAUAAGUAAUAGCAGUGAUUAAGUCUGUAUGGGAAGGUUGAGGGAGGUGGCAUUUGAAUCCACAUUUAAAGGAUGAAUGGAAGUUUGUUGAGAGGACAGGAUGCAGAAGCAUUUUCCAGAGAGAGGGAAUAGCAUGGACAAAGACCUGAAGGCAUGAACAACACAGCGUGUUUGUAGUUUAGUUUAUCUAAAGCAAGGUGCAAGGUAGGAGCCGUGGAAUCAGAGCUAUGGAGGACACUGCAAUCUCUCCCUCAUAAGUGAGCACCUCGGAUUUAACUGUCCAGCAUCAUUUGGAGCACAGGGCGGAGGAUUAUACCGAGGAACCACACCCAUGUCAUUUGAAUUGUCCACAAGACCACUAUAAGGACUUUCCAGGACCAUCACAAGGCUGCAAACCGCAUUUGAAGUGCUGCUUCUGGGGCAUUCUUUCCAAAGAGCCUUUUAGCAGGGCAGGGAGUGAAAGCAUUACCAGGUGCUCUGCUGAAACCGGUAGGAUGAACACCUUCCGAACAGGCUGCAUUCCUCCCGAGGAAACUGAAGAGUGUAACCUCACAGUGAAAUUCCCCCCAAGUCUUUGGCUCUGCAGGAAGCUUCUGGCUAUUUUUCAGGAGAUGCGUUUGCUGCAGGAGGAGUUGGUACCAGUCUUCAGUUCUCAGCCUGUAGGCCCCUGACAUGGGGCACUACUCUGUACAGUUCCAGAAACCAACAACAGCCAUUUAGCAGGAGUGUUGAAACUGCAGAUUGUUCUCCACUGUUCUUCACUGUGGCUGUGUUUGGAACUACCAAAUACUAAUCCUCAGAACUUGGUCUUGGACCUGGUUAUAAAUCUCAUUCCUGCAACUCUGAACAGUGUGAUCUUGGGAGAGUUACUUAAUUUUUCUGAGUCUCAGUUUUUCUUAUCUAUAAAAUGAAGUUAGUAAUAGUAUGGACUUCAUAUAACGUAUGUGAUGAUUAAAUUACAGAGCACAUGUAAUGUGUGUAGCACAAUGCGUGGUACAUAACUAGGCCUCAACAAAUGGCCCAACAAUGUGUUGUUGGUCUAGGGUGGGAGACAGUAAUCUCCCUUUGACUGUCAUUAUCUUUUGACUGGGAAGAUUGGGUAGGCAACAAUGUUGCCUGUUUGCUGUACUUAGCUCUACUUUACUUUUUAUUUUUUUAUUUUUUUGAGACAGAGUCUCACUCUGUCACCCAGACUGGAGUGCAAUGGCACAAUCUUGGCUCACCACACCCUCCAUCUCCCAGAUUCAAGCAAUUCUCCUGCUUCAGCCUCUCAAGUUGCUGGGAUUACAGGCAUGUGCCACCAUGCCCAGCUAAUUUUUUGUAUUUUUAGUAGAGACAGCGUUUCACCAUGUUAGCCAAGCUGGUCUCAAACUCCUGACUUCAGGUGAUCCACCCACCUCAGCCUCCCAAAGUGCUGGGAUUACAGCUGUGAGCCACCGCACCCAGCCGUCUACUUCAUUCUUGCUUGGUUGUUUGCUUCCUGCUCUCACCAAAUUGUAAAGCUCACUGAGGACAUGAACUAAGAUUCUGUGGCCAACAGGGUCUUUCUAUAUAGUAGAUAGUCAAUAAAUAUUUGUAGAUGGAUGCAUGGAUAUUUUUUCAACUGACUAUUUGAAUAUGACUUCUGAUACAUAUGAGUAUCAGUACCCAGGGAAUACAUGAUCCAAGGCUGGGGAGACAUGGGCUUAAUAUUUACUAACAUUUUCCCUUACCUGCCACCUGCUUCUCUUGAGACAUUAAAUCCAAAGGCUAUAAAUCCUGCUGCUUUGCAUGGCUGGGUUAGAUUGCAUAUGAGAAUUUUGCAAAGCAAAAAAGAUACAUCACACCAACUGGCCUCUCAAUGUAUGCUCCCCUCAAAAGGCUUUCAAGCCAAAAAUCCCUAAGCAGUAAUUAUGUGCAAGGCAAAG